rnacentral:tRNA from 1 species
GCUUCUAUGGCCAAGUUGGUAAGGCGCCACACUAGUAAUGUGGAGAUCAUNNNAGUUCGAAUCUGGUUGGAAGCA